rnacentral:rRNA from 1 species
AGUGAACGCUGGCGGUAGGCCUAACACAUGCAAGUCGAACGGCAGCACAGGAGAGCUUGCUCUCUGGGUGGCGAGUGGCGGACGGGUGAGGAAUACAUCGGAAUCUACCUUUUCGUGGGGGAUAACGUAGGGAAACUUACGCUAAUACCGCAUACGACCUACGGGUGAAAGUGGGGGACCGCAGGGCCUCACGCGAUUAGAUGAGCCGAUGUCCGAUUAGCUAGUUGGCGGGGUAAUGGCCCACCAAGGCGACGAUCGGUAGCUGGUCUGAGAGGAUGAUCAGCCACACUGGAACUGAGACACGGUCCAGACUCCUACGGGAGGCAGCAGUGGGGAGUAUUGGACAAUGGGCGCAAGCCUGAUCCAGCCACACCGCGUGGGUGAAGAAGGCCUUCGGGUUGUAAAGCCCUUUUGUUGGGAAAGAAAUCCUGUCGAUUAAUACUCGGUGGGGAUGACGGUACCCAAAGAAUAAGCACCGGCUAACUUCGUGCCAGCAGCCGCAGUAACAC